rnacentral:rRNA from 1 species
GACGAACGCUGGCGGCGUGCUUAACACAUGCCAGUCGAACGGAAAGGCCCUGCUUUUGUGGGGUGCUCGAGUGGCGAACGGGUGAGUAACACGUGAGUAACCUGCCCUUGACUUUGGGAUAACUUCAGGAAACUGGGGCUAAUACCGGAUAGGAGCUCCUGCUGCAUGGUGGGGGUUGGAAAGUUUCGGCGGUUGGGGAUGGACUCGCGGCUUAUCAGCUUGUUGGUGGGGUAGUGGCUUACCAAGGCUUUGACGGGUAGCCGGCCUGAGAGGGUGACCGGCCACAUUGGGACUGAGAUACGGCCCAGACUCCUACGGGAGGCAGCAGUGGGGAAUAUUGCACAAUGGGCGGAAGCCUGAUGCAGCAACGCCGCGUGCGGGAUGACGUCCUUCGGGUUGUAAACCGCUUUCGCCUGUGACGAAGCGUGAGUGACGGUAAUGGGUAAAGAAGCACCGGCUAACUACGUG